rnacentral:rRNA from 1 species
GGGUCAGUAGGUUGGUCGUGCCACCGGUACGUACUGGUCUCACUGAUUCCUCCUUCCUGAAGAACCGUAAUGCCAUUAAUUUGGUGUUGCGGGGAAACAGGACUGUUACUUUGAAAAAACUAGAGUGUUUAAAGCAAGCUAACGCUUGAAUACAUUAGCAUGGAAUAAUGAAAUAGGACGAUCGAUCCCAUUUUGUUGGUUUCUAGGAUUGACGUA